rnacentral:tRNA from 2 species
GACAGCUUGGCCGAGUGGUUAAGGCGAUGGACUUGAAAUCCGUUGGGGUAACCCGCGUGAGUUCAAACCUCACAGCUGUCG